UUGCAGGCGCUGCAGAGCGACCGGGACCGUGCUCUAUGCCUAUAGCUGGCGGGGGAGAGUUGCUGAGGGUUGUCUGACGGGGAAGCCCUGGGAUCAGUGGAGGGCCAGGAGAUCAAUCAUAUUUCCCCUCAGCCUCCUUUUGAUAAGGCUAAACCAUCCAAGUUCUUUAAGUCUGCUUUCAUAAGUUGUGAAGGACUGUAAGAAAAUAUUUAAGCAGGCACGUGGCUGGGUUCCUAUGACG